rnacentral:tRNA from 2 species
GCCGCUGUAGCUUUAACGGUAGAGCAACUGUCUUGUAAACAGUAGGUUGCGGGUUCGAAUCCUGUCAGCGGCUCCA